rnacentral:rRNA from 1 species
AUGGACCAUUUGUUUCAUCUUGCUUGCAAAGCUGAACAGGAAAUAAAACGACGUGUUGCCCACAAGGAGAACAAGCGCGAGAUGCACAUUCCAAGAGUUGAUACGGUUGUCCCUUCAACUACUAGGCAUACUAUGACAACAACAUCCGUUGUUGUCAGGACUACAUCACCUUCACCAUGCGACACAUCAUCAUCGAUAGUGCUUACAUCAUCUGAGUUGAUCAUAAGAGGGCCUAGCACGGACAAGAAGGAUGAACAUUGGAGCAUGGUGAAGCACGGAGAUGAAGGUGUGUGCGAAGAGAACAAGAACAGAGGUUCAAGUGGAGAUUUCCGGACUUUGAAGCCGCCAUGA